rnacentral:rRNA from 1 species
GGGCUCACACAAGCGGUGGAGCAUGUGGCUUAAUUCGAAGCAACGCGAAGAACCUUAUCCAGGGUUUGACAUCCCGGAUUAAACCGUCGAAAGACGGUCUACACCCUUUGGGUGGAACGGUGACAGGUGCUGCAUGGCUGUCGUCAGCUCGUGCUGUGAAGUGUCGGGUUAAGUCCCUCAACGAGCGCAACCCUUAUCGUUAGUUGCUAACAGGUAAUGCUGAGGACUCUAGCGAGACUGCCGGUGUCAAACCGGAGGAAGGUGGGGAUGACGUCAAGUCCUCAUGGCCUUUAUGCCCUGGGCUGCACACGUGCUACAAUGGUAGGUACAGAACGAUGCAAGACCGCGAGGUGGAGCAAAUCGCUAAAACCUGCCCCAGUUCGGAUUGGAGGCUGCAACUCGCCUCCAUGAAGUCGGAAUCGCUAGUAAUCGCGGAUC